CCAAUAGCGUAUAUUAAAGUUGUUGCAGUUAAAAAGCUCGUAGUUGAAUUUCGAGACCGGUUUAUUGGUCGUGCUUUUGUACGUACUGGUAUUAUUGGUUUCUCCUUUCUGACGAAUCUUAAUGCCAUUAAUUUGGUGUUUUGGGGAAUCAGGACUGUUACUUUGAAAAAAUUAGAGUGUUUAAAGCAGGCUCACGCUUGAAUACAUUAGCAUGGAAUAACGAAAUAGGACGUUUGAUUUUAUUUUGUUGGUUUCUAGGAUCGACGUAAUGAUUAAUAGGGAUAGUUGGGGGCAUUAGUAUUCAAUUGUCAGAGGUGAAAUUCUUGGAUUUAUUGAAGACUAACUACUGCGAAAGCAUUUGCCAAGGAUGUUUUCAUUAAUCAAGAACGAAAGUUAGGGGAUCGAAGACGAUCAGAUACCGUCGUAGUCUCAACCAUAAACUAUGCCGACUAGGGAUCGGAUGAUGUUAAUUUUUUAAUGACUCAUUCGGCGCCUUACG
rnacentral:rRNA from 1 species